rnacentral:rRNA from 1 species
UGAGGAAUAUUGGUCAAUGGGCGGAAGCCUGAACCAGCCAUGCCGCGUGCAGGAAGACGGCCCUACGGGUUGUAAACUGCUUUUCCGGGGGAAGAAUAAGGCCGACGUGUCGGCCGAUGCCGGUACCCCGGGAAUAAGGAUCGGCUAACUCCGUGCCAGCAGCCGCGGUAAUACGGAGGAUCCGAGCGUUAUCCGGAUUUACUGGGUUUAAAGGGUGCGUAGGCGGGCGCUUAAGUCAGCGGUGAAAUACGGGGGCUCAACCUUCGAACGGCCGUUGAUACUGGGCGCCUUGGAUGCGGUCGAGGCGGGCGGAAUGCGACAUGUAGCGGUGAAAUGCUUAGAUAUGUCGCAGAACGCCGAUUGCGAAGGCAGCUCGCCAGGCCGACAUUGACGCUGAGGCACGAAAGCGUGGGGAUCAAACA